rnacentral:rRNA from 1 species
UACAGAGGAUGCAAGCGUUAUCCGGAAUGAUUGGGCGUAAAGCGUCUGUAGGUGGCUUUUUAAGUCCGCCGUCAAAUCCCAGGGCUCAACUCUGGACAGGCGGUGGAAACUACCAAGCUGGAGUACGGUAGGGGCAGAGGGAAUUUCCGGUGGAGCGGUGAAAUGCGUAGAGAUCGGGAGGAACACCAGAGGCGAAGGCGGCGACCUGGACAAGCACUGACACUCAACUACGAAAGCGUGGGGAGCAAACAGG